rnacentral:rRNA from 1 species
CCUACGGGUGGCAGCAGUGAGGAAUAUUGGUCAAUGGCCGAGAGGCUGAACCAGCCAAGUCGCGUGAAGGAAGAAUGUCCUAUGGAUUGUAAACCUCUUUUAUCAGGGAGCAAAGUCACCCACGUGUGGGUUUUGGAGAGUACCUUAAGAAAAAGCAUCGGCUAACUCCGUGCCAGCAGCCGCGGUAAUACGGAGGAUGCGAGCGUUAUCCGGAUUUAUUGGGUUUAAAGGGUGCGUAGGCGGGUUAUCAAGUCAGCGGUAAAAUCGUGGGGCUAAACCUCAACCAGCCGUUGAGACUGGUGGUCUUGAGUGGGCGAGAGGUAUGCGGAAUGCGUGGUGUAGCGGUGAAAUGCAUAGAUAUCACGCAGAACUCCGAUUGCGAAGGCAGCAUAC